CCCAAAACACCCCAAAACACCCCAAAAAUCCCCCCCAAAACACCCCAAAAGCCCCAGCCCUGUCCUCAGGGAUUGGCCAACCAGCUUCUCCUCAAAGCCCAAAGGAGAGUGAAGAAGGAUGUCCCCUCCCCAGGCAGGAUGUCCCCUCCCCUGGUGGGAUGUCCCUUCUCCAGGUGGGAUGUCCCCUCUCCAUUUGGGAUGUCCCCUCCCCAGACAAGCCCAGAGCACGGGGACACCGUUGACAAAAGCCUCUUGUGUCAUUUACUGGCCACCAGCUGGGGACAAUCCCGACCCUGCGGGAGAAAACAGGAAGCCCAGCCAGGUCCCCAUGGCCAUGGCAAGGCUGGAGGUGGCCUUGGGGACAGGAACAUGUCCCUGAUGGUCACUGGGACCACCUGGACCAGGUCCCCAUGGCCACAGGGAUGGGGACAAGGACAGGGACGUGUUCCUCAUGGUCACUGGGAGCACCUGAGGUGGUUCUCAUGGCCUUGGGGACAGGGACAAUGACAGGGCCAGGUCCCCGAUGGUAACUAACAGCACCUGGGGCUGGUCUCCAUGGCCGUGGGGACAGGGACAAGGACAGAUCCCUGAUGGUCCCUGUGAGCACCCGGGGUGGUCCGCGUGGCCAUGGGGACAGGGACAGGUCCCUGACAGUCACUGGGAGCACCUGGGGUAGUCCCUGUGGCCACAGGGAUGGGGACAAGGACAGGGCCAGGUCCCUGAUUGUCACUGUGAGCACCCGGGCCGGUCCCCAUGGCCACGGUGACAAGGACAAUGCCACGUCCCCUGACAGUGCCCGUCCCCAGCCGUGUGCCACGUGCUGUACGGGCAGCGCCUGGGGCUGCUGCAGGACUUUGUGGAGCCCGAGGCCCAGCGCUUCAUCGAGGCCGUGUCGCGCAUGUUCCACACCACGGCGCCCAUGCUGCACCUGCCGCCCGCGCUGCUGCGCCGCCUCAACACCCGCACCUGGCGCCAGCACGUGCAGGCCUGGGAUGUCAUCUUCUGCCAGGCGGACAAGUGCAUCCAGAACGUGUACCG
rnacentral:lncRNA from 1 species